CCUACGGGAUGCUGCAGUGAGGAAUAUUGGUCAAUGGACGGAAGUCUGAACCAGCCAUGCCGCGUGCAGGAAGACGGCUCUAUGAGUUGUAAACUGCUUUUGUACAAGGGUAAACCUGAAUACGUGUAUUCAGCUGAAAGUACUGUACGAAUAAGGAUCGGCUAACUCCGUGCCAGCAGCCGCGGUAAUACGGAGGAUCCAAGCGUUAUCCGGAUUUAUUGGGUUUAACGGGUGCGUAGGCGGAUUGAUAAGUUAGAGGUGAAAUGUCCGAGCUUAACUCGGGAACUGCCUCUAAUACUGUUGAUCUAGAGAGUAGAUGCGGUAGGCGGAAGGUAUGGUGUAGCGGGGAAAUGCUUAGAGAUCAUACAGAACACCGAUUGCGAAGGCAGCUUAUCAAUCUAUAUCUGACGUUGAGGCACGAAAGCGUGGGGAGCAAACAGGAUUAGAUACCCGGGUAGUC
rnacentral:rRNA from 1 species